GACGGAGGGGCUAGCGUUGUUCGGAAUUACUGGGCGUAAAGCGCACGUAGGCGGCCUUUCAAGUCAGAUGUGAAAGCCCCGGGCUUAACCCGGGAAUUGCAUUUGAUACUGUUGGGCUUGAGACCGGGAGAGGAUAGCGGAAUUCCCAGUGUAGAGGUGAAAUUCGUAGAUAUUGGGAAGAACACCAGUGGCGAAGGCGGCUAUCUGGACCGGUACUGACGCUGAGGUGCGAAAGCGUGGGGAGCAACAGG
rnacentral:rRNA from 1 species